rnacentral:rRNA from 1 species
UACGAAGGGGGCUAGCGUUGCUCGGAAUCACUGGGCGUAAAGGGUGCGUAGGCGGGUCUUUAAGUCAGGGGUGAAAUCCUGAGGCUCAACCUCAGAACUGCCUUCGAUACUGGCAAUCUCGAGUCCGGAAGAGGUUGGUGGAACAGCUAGUGUAGAGGUGAAAUUCGUAGAAUAUUAGCUAGAACACCAGUGGCGAAGGCGGCCAACUGGUCCCGGUACUGACGCUGAGGUGCGAAAGCGUGGGGAGCAAACAGGG